CAGACAUCAGCUCCCAGCACCUAGAAGCCACUUCCUUCUCAAGAGUAACUUCAUGGAAACAAGGACUCUGUUGCAACUAGCUGAGGUUGGAAUUAACUCUUCCUCUGUCUGCAUUACAAAUUAUUGCUCACUGAAAAAAUAGUCAAUUGCUACAGAAGUGUUUCACAUCGAAAAUGAGAAGCCUUCUCCUUCAGCACAUUCCCAAAGUACUAGAAUGUUCUUUUAACUGGACCAAAGAGCAUUUAACCUGAAGGUACAAGAGCCCCCUCCAGGAGGACGGAGAUCAUGUCUGUCUGGUUCGCUGCUGUGUGGACUUUGCCUGGCACGUUGUCGGCACUCCAUACUCAGAAGCUCUGAAAAUCUUCUACUCCAGUCAGAAAACAUCUAGGGGAAAAACUACCCUUCAGCCCCAAAUGCUCAACAGACCAUAGGAAAUUUUCUUCGAUGGACUCAAAGUCAAGAUCUCCAUGGGGGCUUCCUCUUAUAGGCUCCAGGCUUCAGUGAGACCUGUGUCUGAGUGUGGCAACCAUUUGGUGCUCCAAAGUCAAUAGCGGAGUGGGUGCACCUGGCUGGGGAGGGAAUAAGGAGGCCAAAGAAAUCAGCAGGCUUUGACUCAGCAAUCCGGGAAAUAU